rnacentral:rRNA from 1 species
UACGAAGGGGGCUAGCGUUGUUCGGAUUUACUGGGCGUAAAGCGCGUGUAGGCGGGUCGUUAAGUUGGGGGUGAAAUCCCGGAGCUCAACUCCGGAACUGCCUCCAAAACUGGCGACCUGGACCCAAGUAGAGGCAAGUGGAAUUCCGAGUGUAGAGGUGAAAUUCGUAGAUAUUCGGAGGAACACCAGUGGCGAAGGCGACUUGCUGGACUUGUGGUGACGCUGAGACGCGAAAGCGUGGGGAGCAAACAGGAUUAGAAACCCCUGUAGU